CGGUCCUUUUUGUACAGACGCACCCAGACUUCAUCCUUGGCGCGCAGCUCCAGCAUGAUGCUCUGGCUCUGCAUGAUGCUGCGGUCUGCCGACUGCGCGUAAAGGAUGGCCUUCUCAUCCUCGUUCUUCAUGAGGUGCAGUAAACACAGCGCCUCAAUCUCCUGGAAGCCAGGGCAUUUUAACCAUCUCCAUAAAAGGUUCGUGGCGCUUCAGUCUGUGGCACAUCUCAUUCCUGCAUCGCCUGAUCAUGUGCAACAGGAUCACAAUCCAUGUGGAAGCACUCGGUGUGACGUUCAACAUUCACAUGCAGGCAUAACGACUACUUUUAGAGUUCGUGUUUUGUCAUGUGUAUACAUUACAUCUAUAUUAACAGGAAAACGACUUUAUAUUAUGAAUUCACAAUGUAUUAUACCAACAUGGCCUAUACCUCGACUAGACUAUGCCCAAUUGCCAUGUGAAACAGUGCUGUGGAAUUAUUGCAGUUAUUCAAUUGUAGGCAGUGCCGUGUAGUGUCUACUGAACUGUGAUCGCAUCCCCAGUAACCUCGAUUCGAUCCCUGGCAAUUCUUAUCUGAUCCUGCCAUCAAGUCUCCUCAAAGCCAAUUGAGUCAAAAGUAAUAAGGAGUAUCUUGGGGUGCAAGCCAGAAUCAAAAGACUCAUCACAUUCAUCAUUAACCCUGUCUGACAACAGAAAAAUAGUAAGUUGACAUUUUCGGCAAUGGAACUUCUACAUAAUGGGGAGAUUGGUUAAUUAUUGCUCUAGAUUUUACUGAACACUGUGGACCCCUUAUAAAACUGGGAUAUGUUAAGUUAAUAAAUAAACAUAUUCAACUAAUAAAGAUGUGCAUCUACAGCCCUUUGUCAUUCCACUUCUAGAUGAGGGCCUCUUAAUGCCGUGCUGGUUUUGGGAGUUAUUUGAGCACACUUAACUUUUUCACAGAUCAAACCCAGACAUAUUUCUUCAUCAGCCGAGAUCAAACACUGUGCAGUUCUACGCUUAUGAAGUUCAACAAAAUUCCACCAUAUCUAAGUGUAAUGAGAGAGCGCCACCUGGGGGGGGGGGGUUACAGGGGACAUCUGCAAUAUUCGGGAACCAUCUAGAGGGUUCCACGAGGGGGCAUGGCCGUAGGCGGAGCUUAGCUCCGCCGGGGGGCAUAUAAGCGGAGGCAGGAGAGGACUCCUGCCUCCGCUGGAGUCCUCUCCAGCGGAAGCAGGACUUCAUCGCCGUGGCCAACGACCACGUGGCGAGCCUCCAGCGAAGCCGUCUCUCCUCCGGGUACACCGCCAGCCAGCGGCGUGGACAGAGAGAGAGAGGGAGACGUACCACAGCAGCGGACGAGGGAGUGAGAGAACUACCCAGAGAGAGAGAGAGAGCGCGGAGCUGUGCAGACAUUCUGUUGAAUAAAAGACACCAGUCCAGAGUCGUCGUGGAAGUCGUUUAUUACAUUGGUGUCAGAAGUGGGAUACGGCUACCGCGGAGGGUCCGGCGUCACGGACCCAUUCUAAAACGCCUCGAUUAUGCUGAUGGUCCCAUUUGUCUUCGCUUUGUUAUUCGCCUUUUAACGCCGGCUCGUACAAUUCAUGUUGCUUGUGUUUUACACACCCUUGUUGUUGCCGCGGGGUCUUUUAUUGUGUCUCUCCAUUACUCGUGCAAAUUCGUUCUUAGCUGGGACGGCUAGGUUUUUUCAUCAUGGGGGGGGGGGGUGAUGUAAUAAGAGAGUGCCACCUUGGGGGUUACAGGGGACAUCUGCAUGGCCACUGCUGGGUAACCGGUAUCCAAUCUGGCGUAGGGAUUCAAUCUAGGCCAAAGGUAACGGGCGGAGCUACGGGGAAUAUUCGGGAACCAUCUAGAAGGUUCCACGAAGGUCGUGGCCGUAGGCGGAGCUUAGCUCCGCUGGGGGGCAUAUAAUG